UGGAAUACAUACGGUUCCUUCAUGAACAAGUUCAGGUUUGGAUUUUGGCCUUCUCUUGCCUACUUUUUGCCCUGCACACUAUUCUGUCAGCUUGCCUGUUCUGGAAGUACUUUUGCAAUCUGGAAAUGCAUUCACAAGCUGGACUCUAAAUGAAAUGGAAAUUAGUAAGGUGAAACCUUGUGCUUGCAAAAUGAGGGAAUUUUUCCCCUGAAACACUUUUGACUUGCAAAAUGUAAUAUUGAGCUCUUAAAUAGGUUCUACAUAUUGCAAUUUUUGUGGAAGCAUCAAGCAUAUGCAAUGGUGUGUUGAAUAUGCAGAUUUGUUUUCAAUAUCUGACCUGCGAGCUAUUGUGAUUUGGGCUCCAAUCUCUGUUUGAAGACAUGUCAUCUUAAAAUAGUACCCCCACAAAAUAGAACUGUUGCUUUCCAUUGAUUUAGGUUAUAAUAGAGAACUCUUACCCUUUUGAACUUUUAACUUCUAACUUUGAGAUGGCUAGCACAUUAUGGUAAGCUUUUGUUAUUGCUGCCUCGUUGUGCAAGUUUGAUGGCUAAGACUGAGUAUCU
rnacentral:lncRNA from 1 species